AGAGUUGAUCAUGGCUCAGGACGAACGCUGGCGGCGUGCUUAACACAUGCAAGUUGAACGGUAUGACAUGGAAGCUUGCUGAAGUGUCAUAUAGUAGCGGACGGGUGAGUAAUGCAUGAGAAGCUGCCAUUGGGAGGGGGACAACAGUUGGAAACGGCUGCUAAUACCCCGUAUGCCGGAGGGUGAAAGGGAGUAAUCCGCCCGAUGAGGUGCUCAUGUCCUAUCAGCUGGUUGGUGGGGUAACGGCCUACCAAGGCGACGACGGGUAGCCGGCCUGAGAGGGUGAACGGCCACACUGGAACUGAGAUACGGUCCAGACUCCUACGGGAGGCAGCAGUGGGGAAUAUUGGGGCCAAUGGGGGCAACCCUGACCCAGCGACGCCGCGUGGGGGAAGACGGCCUUCGGGUUGUAAACCUCUUUUGUACGGGAAGAAGGAAGUGACGGUACUGUACGAAUAAGUCCCGGCUAACUACGUGCCAGCCGCCGC
rnacentral:rRNA from 1 species